rnacentral:rRNA from 1 species
UACGUAAGUGGCGAGCGUUAUCCGGAAUUACUGGGCGUAAAGCGUGCGUAGGCGGUUUAGUGUGUGGGAAUUGAAAGCCCGGGGCUCAACUCCGGAUCCGGUUCCCAAACUGCUAGACUCGAGCGUAUCAGAGGACAGUGGAAUUCCCGGUGUAGCGGUAAUAUGCGUAGAUAUCGGGAGGAACACCAGUGGCGAAAGCGACUGUCUGGGGUAUUGCUGACGCUGAGGCACGAAAGCCAGGGGAGCGAACGGG